GUGCUUGCUUCGGCAGCACAUACACUAAAAUUGGAACGAUACAGAGAUGAUUGGCAUGGUCCCUGUUCAAGGAUGACAUGCAAAUUUGUGAAGGGUUCCAUAUUUUA
rnacentral:snRNA from 1 species